UCUUCCCUCUGGCGGCGUGCCUAAUACAUGCAAGUCGAGCGAACGGACGAGAAGCUUGCUUCUCUGAUGUUAGCGGCGGACGGGUGAGUAACACGUGGAUAACCUACCUAUAAGACUGGGAUAACUUCGGGAAACCGGAGCUAAUACCGGAUAUUAUUUUGAACCGCAUGGUUCAAAAGUGAAAGACGGUCUUGCUGUCACUUAUAGAUGGAUCCGCGCUGCAUUAGCUAGUUGGUAAGGUAACGGCUUACCAAGGCAACGAUGCAUAGCCGACCUGAGAGGGUGAUCGGCCACACUGGAACUGAGACACGGUCCAGACUCCUACGGGAGGCAGCAGUAGGGAAUCUUCCGCAAUGGGCGAAAGCCUGACGGAGCAACGCCGCGUGAGUGAUGAAGGUCUUCGGAUCGUAAAACUCUGUUAUUAGGGAAGAAAAUAUGUGUAAGUAACUGUGCACAUCUUGACGGUACCUAAUCAGAAAGCCACGGCUAACUACGUG
rnacentral:rRNA from 1 species